GGUACAGUAUUAAAAUACUAAGCUUGUAGGCCUAACUGCCUGCCCAACUGAUUGCAUUUGGUCUGAUUCCUUUUAAGUGAUAAAUGCCCUGGCAUGUGGAAAGAAGCCUUGGACAGCUCAAGGACUAACUUACUUAUAAAUGGUUCUGAUUACAAAGCCUGACAACUUUAGCAGCCUUCUGUUCCUCUGUAAUUACCAUUGUAUGACCUAUUAGGCUGGGCUUGUCCCCAUAGAAGAAGGAUUUGGAAGAGGUAGGUCACUCAGCUUGGAUGGAUGGAUGCUGAGCAGGUGGUUUUGCUCCAUUGCAGAUUGUACUACUGACCACAGGCCUAUAUGGUGAUGCAAUAAAUCCCUUCCUACCAACUGCUACAUGAGAGGUCCCAAGGUGGAAGAAACUUCAUGGAUGCCACUUUAGGAAGAUCUACUUUCAACCCAAGGCCAUGACUUCAGUGGGACAAUUAAUAAGGGUACCAUCUGUUGAAAGUGCAAAAAUUAUGUCUACUUUGCAAUUGGCUACGAUGGCGCGUGAAGUCUACUGGCUAUAGGAUAACAUUUACGGAUGACAAAAGUAGGCUACCUUCAUUUUGUUCUGCCAUGAUCAGUAGGAAGGCUUUAAAUUAUGAGAUCCUGAAUUGGAGAAGAGCUAGAGCUUGGAAGAGAUAAAUCAGAAAGUGUGUGAUGUAUCAGCUUGUCAUGGAAUGUCAAUAAUAAGAUCAGUGAUCAGGCACCCACUACUGCUAGGUGUGAGAGACUUGACCAAGACAAGCAAACAGUGAGGAUUUGAACCCCAGACUUCAAGAUUGAGAGUACGAAUUGCAACUGCUGCAUCUACAGCUUCCACAAUUAUUAAGAUGAAAGACAAUGCCUUUGUUAAACAGUAAGAGAAAUUUAAAAUGAUGACAUUGUCAUCUGAGAAAGACAAAAUCUUCAAGAAAGUAUAUAGCUUAACAUGUUUGUGCAUUACCUGAUAGAUGUUAGAAUUGAAGUGACAGUGACAUCCAAACAUGAAUGAGCAGUUUGCUGUACAGAAGCUGUAGAGCUUGAAGUGCCUUACUAACGCUUAUUAGACUCGUCUGUUAGAAAGUGAUCAUCUGUCAGAAUGGACUGCAUUAGGUCAUACAAGAGUAGCUGCA